UGUACUUGACCCUUCUUGAAAGACCCGGGA
rnacentral:piRNA from 1 species